rnacentral:rRNA from 1 species
GUGAUCUACCUCGCACUCUGGGAUAAGCCUGGGAAACUGGGUCUAAUACCGGAUACGACCAGUCCUCGCAUGGGGGUUGGUGGAAAGGUUUACUGGUGCGAGAUGGGCCCGCGGCCUAUCAGCUUGUUGGUGGGGUAACGGCCUACCAAGGCGACGACGGGUAGCCGACCUGAGAGGGUGACCGGCCACACUGGGACUGAGACACGGCCCAGACUCCUACGGGAGGCAGCAGUGGGGAAUAUUGCACAAUGGGCGAAAGCCUGAUGCAGCGACGCCGCGUGAGGGAUGACGGCCUUCGGGUUGUAAACCUCUUUCGACAGGGACGAAGCGCAAGUGACGGUACCUGUAGAAGAAGCACCGGCUAACUACGUGCCAGCAGCCGCGGUAAUACGUAGGGUGCGAGCGUUGUCCGGAAUUACUGGGCGUAAAGAGCUUGUAGGCGGUUCGUCGCGUCGGUCGUGAAAACGUGCAGCUCAACUGUGCGCCUGCGGUCGAUACGGGCGGACUAGAGUACUUCAGGGGAGACUGGAAUUCCUGGUGUAGCGGUGAAAUGCGCAGAUAUCAGGAGGAACACCGGUGGCGAAGGCGGGUCUCUGGGAAGUAACUGACGCUGAGAAGCGAAAGCAUGGGUAGCGAACAGGAUUAGAUACCCUGGUAGUCCAUGCCGUAAACGGUGGGUACUAGGUGUGGGUUUCCUUCC